CUACGGUGCCUGCCUGGUUCUAGAGACUGGUCCACCUCUGUUUUGAGAUUUUGUAGACCCAUGAAACAUUUCAACUGCCUAAUACUUCUGAUUUCACCUACAACAUGAGAAUGAUCCUGAUGGUCGUGAAUAUAUCAUUAUAGGAAGAAUUAAGAUAAUCCUUAAAUUUUCUCCCCUCCCGUGAAAAUACAAUCUAUAGAAUAUAACUUAGAAAUAAAUUAAUGGGAUGGACUCAGACUCAGCAUGUCUUGACAUUUUUGAAUUUUUUUUUACCUUGGCCUGGCAGGUCAACUGACCACAGCAGUUUAUUCUAUAGCAAUAUGGAUUUUGCCAACAUAAUAAAAUUCAUGCAGUGUUUGAAUGUUAUAAACAUGACUUAUUUAGCUCUUUUUAGAUUAAAAAAAAAAAGGGAGCUUACUUUGCCAGAGUGGUGAGAAGUUAAUUUACAUAUGGGAAAACAAAUCUGGAAUUUGGCUCUGACCAAUAGAGGUCUUCUCUAUAUUAUUAUCCCAUUUCCAAAAGGAAUUUGAGGUGAUUUACAAAGAUGUAGGGAAACAAAAUCUAAUAAAAUCUGGAGGAAGGGAAAAUAAACAUUGAAAACAAAGGCAGGGUCUUAACAUAUCCACAUCGUAGUAAAAUAAAAGCCAUGGUCCCACCUGUCACUGCAGAUCCCCUACCAGGUCGGGCCUGAUGAGGAUACUCAACAGCACACAAAUGAUGAUACUGUGUAUCUGGCUGCAAAAGAAAGAAAAGAUGACACACUUCUUAUGAUGUGACUUCUCCCAAAGGAUAAUAUAUUAGUAGGUUUACAAGGAAAAACCUUGAAAUCAGACAACCAUGUAAAUGGCAUUGACAGUCUGAGGGACAAGGUGGCUGAGUACACUCUUGUAUUAACAGUAAAAAAUUCCAAGCCGGAGGCCCACAAAACCAUUUGUUAACUUGUAAAAAAUUUUUAAGUUGCUUUUCUAACUUUUAAGUUCUAAAACUAUUAAUAUGUCUUUAAGAAAAUCUUAGCACUUAUAAUAAUGCAUAUGGUUUAAUACUUAAAUAUUAUAUUUAGAAUAUUUAAAUAUUAGCAUUUUUAAUUGGCUGCCAAGGGAAUUUAAUUUGGACUGUCUGCUGUUUAAAACAACAGAAUGGAGCCUUUUCAGCAACAUUGAAAUGCACAUGACUUUACCUCCAUACUUGAGAUGUGACUCUCAAUAUGAAACAUUUCAAAAUUACAUCAAGGAAUUUAAAGAUUUUAAGACGUGGCUAAAAUAUUGAAAUGCAAAUAUCAAAAAAAGCUGUCAGUGCUAUCCUGCUGGUGCUUCUGGAAUAAAAAACAUUCCUCUCCAUUCCCUGUCAGAGAACUGCAAUCAAGAGAUUUCAGGAAUUUUUUUCUGGUGAAGCCCCAUCUUUUUUUAUUGGGGUCACCAAACUUCUUUUCUUUAGAGGGCCAGACAGUAAAUAUUUUAGGCUUUGUGGUACAUACUGUUGCAACUACUCAACUCUGCUGUUGAGGUGGGAAAGUGGUCCAUGGACAGUACAUACCUGAAUGAGUAUGGCAGCUCUUCUCUAAUAAAACUUUAUGUACAGAAACAGGCAAUUUUUGUGGUAAGCCAAGUGGCCCAUAACAGUAGUUUGCUGAUCCCUUUUCUAGGUGAGAACACCAAAGAGCAGAGCACUAGUCUGGAAGUGACAAACCAGGGACUCGGCUCUAGUGCGCUUAGUUACAUUGAGCUACCAGCUCAUCUUCCUUUGCGUGACAGCAAAUUGGGAGAGAAAUAGCUAAGGAAUGAAAUUCUUUGGUUAUAAACAUCAGAAAAAGAAGAAACUGAAAUGUCUUCAUCUGUUUAGUUUAAUUGCUAAGGCAACCAAAAAUUAAAUGUGUUUUAGAGAAUCUAGCUGUAGAAUAUAAUCAUCAAACAAUGCUUAACAAAUGCUCUGAAUCAAAUUUUGAGAAGAUUAAUAGAGGUUUUAAAACUCUCUAGGAUUCACAUUGAGUAAGAAUCAGAAAUGCUCACAUUUCGCUUUAGCUCCUGUUUUGGUGAGUUGCCCCCUAAAUAAAGCAUCUUGAGGUCUGCUGAGUUGAAUAGCGUCCCCCAUCCCCUGCCCCCGCCAGUAUUCAUGUCUACUUGGAACCCAUGAAUGUAACUUUAUUUGGAAAUAGGAUCUUUGCAGUUGUAAUCAAGAUAAGAUGAGGUCAUAUUAGAUUAGGGUCAGCCAUAAAUUCAGUGAUUGGUAUCUUUCUAAGAGGGAAAUUGGGACACACACAGGGAAGAAGGCUCUGUGAAGGCAGAGGCGGAAAUUGGACUGAUGUGGCUGCAAACCAAGGAGUACUAAGGAUUGCUGGUGACCACCAGAAGCCAAGAAGAGAUGAGAAAACAUCCUUCCCUAGAGCCUGGAGAGGGAACAUGGUUCUACUGACACCUUGAUUUUGGACUUCUAGGCUCUGGAACUGAUAGAAUAAAUUUCUCUUUUAAGCCA